rnacentral:rRNA from 1 species
AGCAGCCGCGGUAAUUCCAGCUCCAAUAGCGUAUAUUAAAGUUGUUGCAGUUAAAAAGCUCGUAGUUGAAUUUCGGGGUUAGCAGGUCGGUCGUGCCAUCGGUAUGAACUGGCCUCGCUGAUCCCUCCCUCUUGACGAACUGUGAUGCCAUUAAUUUGGUGUCGCAGGGAAUCAGGACUGUUACUUUGAAAAAAUUAGAGUGUUUAAAGCAGGCUCACGCUUGAAUACAUUAGCAUGGAAUAAUGAAAUAGGACGUUUGAUCCUAUUUUGUUGGUUUCUAGGAUUGACGUAAUGAUUAAUAGGGAUAGUUGGG